UUCCCUCAGCUGGGAGCAGGAACUGAGCUCCUGACUCAACCAGCAGCAUUUGGGUGAGACAGAGCCCAGCCAGAAAAACCCAUGGUGAGGAAGGGACCGUCCUGGAGAAGGGCUGAGCCUGACACAUCCCUGCAGGAGGCUUCCACUGCCCUGCAGCCACAGGGAUUGCCACGGGACCCCCUCGGUGGGGCCGGAUGCAGCCGCUGCUCACGGUUCCUGCUGCAGCCGCAUUUCCAGCACGGACCAUCCCCGAGCCCUGGCAUUCUGAGCACACCGGGGAAUCCCGCUCCCUGGCCCAGGAGCUGGUCCUGUUCCUCAUCCCACCCCUGUAUCCAUCUCCCGCUGCCUCCCGCCCUGCCGGUGUCGCGGUGCCCCGGUGUCCCGAUGCCCCGAUGUCCCAAUGUCCCGAUGUCCCGGUGUGCCGGUAUGGCGGUGUCCCGGUGUCCCGAUGUCCCAGUGUCCCGGUGUCCCAAUGUCCCGGUGUCCUGGUGCCCCGGUGUCCCAAUGUCCCAAUGUCCCGGUGUCCCAAUGUCCCGGUGCCCCAAUGUCCCGGUGCCCCGGUGUCCCAAUGUCCCGAUGUCCCGAUGCCCCAAUGUCCCGGUGUCCCAAUGUCCCGGUGUCCCGGUGCCCCAAUGUCCCGGUGCCCCGGUGUCCCAAUGUCCCGGUGUCCCAAUGUCCCGGUGCCCCGGUGUCCCAAUGUCCCGGUGUCCCAAUGUCCCGGUGUCCCGAUGCCCCAAUGUCCCGGUGUCCCAAUGUCCCGGUGUCCCGAUGUCCCGGUGCCCCAAUGUCCCGGUGUCCCGGUGUCCCAAUGUCCCGGUGUCCCGAUGUCCCGGUGUCCCGGUGCCCCAAUGUCCCGGUGUCCCAAUGUCCCGAUGUCCCGAUGCCCCAAUGUCCCGGUGUCCCGAUGUCCCGGUGUCCCGGUGCCCCAAUGUCCCGGUGUCCCAAUGUCCCGAUGUCCCGAUGUCCCGGUGUCCCGGUGCAGUACCGGCAGCCGGCGGCCGAGGGCUCCCGAGCCGCGCUCAGGCCCCCGAGCUCCCGGCCCGGGCAGGGCGGGGGAAGCGGCCCACGGUAAAAGCCCGGCCCGGAGCAUCUCCCCGAACCCGCGGCACCCGCAGCCUCCGGCCGCUGCCCCGGGGCCAUCCAGAGCCCCGGCGGCUCCCCCGGAGCGGGAUCCGCUCCUCGGCCCGAGGGACAAAGCCCGGGAACCACCCGCGGCUGCCGCCGGGCCCGGGCGGACCCCAGCGCCGCCGCAGCUCCGGCUGCCCCACCCCGAGCAGGGACG
rnacentral:lncRNA from 14 species